rnacentral:rRNA from 1 species
CCCAGAGCGUAGCUUAAUAGCAUAGCAUCUCCCUUACACCGAGAAGACACCCGUGCAACCCGGGUCGCACUGAAACGCCUCAACAGCUAGCCCACCCACAACACCCCUAUCAACCCACAUCAAAUAACCCCUCAAGCACUAUGAAUGUGAAAUUAAAUCAUUUUUCCACCCGAGUAUGGGAGACAAAAAAGGACCCUGGGCGCCAUAGAAUAAGUACCGCAAGGGAAAGCUGAAAGAGAAAAUGAAAAAACCCAUCAAAGGAAAAAACAGCAGAGAUUUACCCUCGUACCUUUUGCAUCAUGAGCUAGCCAGUAUUUGCAAGCAAAGAGCCCUUAAUGUUUGAACCCCCGAAACUAAGCGAGCUACUCCAAGACAGCCUAUCCCAGGGCAAACCCGUCUCUGUGGCAAAAGAGUGGGAAGAGCUUCGAGUAGAGGUGAAAGACCUACCGAGCCUAGUAAUAGCUGGUUCUCUGGGAAAUGAAUAGAAGUUCCACCUUUUACCUUUUUUACCCAGCAAGGUUAUACACGUCCCACGGACAAAAGAAGGUUAAAGAGCUAGUCAACAGAGGGACAGCUCUCUUGACUUAAAAGAAACAACUUUAACAGAAGGAUAAGGACUAAAACCAACCCAAGGGAUCGCACCUUAGUGGGCCUAAAAGCAGCCACCUACAGAGAAAGCGUUAAAGCUCAAGAGCAAAUAAUUCCUUAUAAUUUCAGCAAACCCCUCCUACACCCCUUAAAACUACCAGAGCCUCCCAUGCAAGCAUGGGAAAGACAAUGCUAGCAUGAGUAAUAAGAGAGCCAAGCCUCUCUCUUUAUCACCUGUAUAGCCCAGAACAAACCCCCACUGACAAUUAACGCCUUCAUUUUUAGAGAAAAGUGAGAUAAACCUUGAGAAACAGGAAAACCUCUCAAUACCUUAAGCGUUAACCCCACACAGGAGUGAUUAAAGAAAGACAAAAAGAGAAAGAAGGAACUCGGCAAACAAAUUCGUGCCCCGCCUGUUUACCAAAAACAUCGCCUCUUGCCUUAACCCUAUAAGAGGUCCCGCCUGCCCUGUGACUGAAAGUUUAACGGCCGCGGUAUUUUGACCGUGCGAAGGUAGCGUAAUCACUUGUCUUUUAAAUGAAGACCUGUAUGAAUGGCAUAACGAGGGCUAAGCUGUCUCCUUUUUCAAGUCAAUGAAAUUGAUCUGCCCGUGCAGAAGCGGGCAUACCCCCAUAAGACGAGAAGACCCUAUGGAGCUUUAGACCCCUGGCCGGGCCAUGUUAAAAACACCCCAACACUGGUUAUAAACAAAAUGGCUUCCGCCCACGGUCUUUGGUUGGGGCGACCGCGGAGCAACAAGAACCCUCCACGUGGAAUAGGGCACCCCCCUUAAAGUAAGAGCCACAGCUCUAACAAGCAGAACUUCUGACCAUAAAGAUCCGGCAAAGCCGAUCAACGGACCGAGUUACCCUAGGGAUAACAGCGCAAUUCUCUUUUAGAGCCCAUAUCGACAAGAGAGUUUACGACCUCGAUGUUGGAUCAGGACCUCCUAAUGGUGCAGCCGCUAUUAAGGGUUCGUUUGUUCAACGAUUAAAGUCCUACGUGAUCUGAGUUCAGACCGGAGUAAUCCAGGUCAGUUUCUAUCUAUGGAUUGAAUCCUUUUCUAGUACGAAAGGACCGAAAAGGAAGGGCCCAUGCUCAAAGCACGCCCUGCCUCCACCCUCUGUCCUCUACUAAAGAGGGCAAGGAGGCACAAACCAAGCCUGCCCAAGAAAAGGGCUUGUUGGAGUGGCAGAGCCCGGACAAUUGCAAAAGGUCUAAGCCCUUUGAACAGAGGUUCAAAUCCUCUCUCCAACC